AAAAAUUGAUUUUCCAUUUACUUUAUGAACUAGCUCACCAACAACCUACUUUAACUCUUCAUUAACUCCAAGCAUGAGGUGUCAUGUAGCAAACUUCUUUGCAUGAAUGUCUGCAAUAUAUAAAAGAUUUUGGAGUGUUUUGAAGGGAGAGCAACUGAACAAAAUUCUGAGAAAAAGUUGAGAGGAGAAGGAUGGUCUUCUACAUAGUUGCUGCUGUGAGCUUCUCCAAAUUCCCUUAAUUCCAGCUUAUUUUGAGUCCCACUACUCAAUUUUAAGCUCUAAGAGUAUAGUAGAGAAGAUCUUGGGGUGGUUUACAACAAGAUCCUGUGGAGUUUGCAGCUGAAUCGAAGCUUAGAGGAAGUUCUUCAAAGGCUUAAGGCUUCACACCUAUUAAUAUUUCUUUUUAAAGAAGAAAAAUCAUCGACUCCUCCACUUCCCCUUUCUUCCUCCUCCAUCUCUUUUCUCCAUCCAGCAAUUUCACACCCUUCGCUGUUGCCAUUCGCCCGUCGGAUUCGACUGACCCAUGCCGUCGUUGUUCACCAGUCCGUUGUUUUUCAGUCGGAUUCGACCGCCAUUCGCCAAUCCUUCGUGCGCUAUUCAUUCUUAUUCAUCAGUCAUUCACCACUACAAGAAAUAAUGGAUACAACAGCUAACGAAAAAGGCUAUAAAAGACCUUGUAUAGCCUUUUUCGAAGGUCCUGACAGCCCAUGUUAUUAAAAGUCUAGGACUUUUUAUAGCUUUUUUGUAGAGCUAUAAUAGAUGUAUAAUAGAGUAUGGAGAUAUAGCAUGUAUACAUGGCUAUGAAACAUUCAAUAGCAUUAGUCAUUAAAGCUAUCUUUAAUAUAUAAUAGCUUGCUCUUAAUGCUAUCUUUAUUAUAUAA